GGUUCAGGACGAACGCUGGCGGCGUGCCUAACACAUGCAAGUCGAACGGAGAGCAUAUGAAGUAUUCGGUACGGAAUGCGUUCUAGUGGCGAACGGGUGAGUAACACGUGGGCAACCUGCCCCAGACUGGGGGAUAACAUUGUGAAAACAGUGCUAAUACCGCAUGACAGGGUUCCGGGCAUCCGGGACUCUUGAAAGGAGAAAUCCGGUCAGGGAUGGGCCCGCGUCCAAUUAGCUAGUUGGUGGGGUAACGGCCCACCAAGGCGACGAUUGGUAGCCGAACUGAGAGGUUGAUCGGCCACAUUGGGACUGAGACACGGCCCAGACUCCUACGGGAGGCAGCAGUGGGGAAUAUUGGGCAAUGGGCGAAAGCCUGACCCAGCGACGCCGCGUGAAGGAUGAAGGUCUUCGGAUUGUAAACUUCUUUGAUCAGGGAAGAAAGAAAUGACGGUACCUGAAAAACAAGCCACGGCUAACUACGUGCCAGCCGCAGC
rnacentral:rRNA from 1 species